AGGAGGAAGGAGCAGCGGGAAGGAGCGGGAGCAGGGCAGGAGAGGGUGAAGAGAGGCGAGCGGCCGGCGCCGUGAUGGGGGCUGAGGCGGGGCUGAGGAGCUCAGCUGCGCACCCCCUCAGGGCUCGUCUCAGGGCUGUCGUCGGGGCAGAUUCCACUCUCUCUGUUAUUAGCCGCGAUGAGUGAAAGCAAACUCUCCGGCUCGGGAGUUUGUGGGGAAUUCAAGGCGUUCCUGCCCUCGUUUCUCGCCCGGGCAGUGCCAGACAGCCUUGUGCUCCUUCUCAGGGGUUUAUGGCGGUAGUUCCGGAUGGGGGCUCUUGUCGGGUGGCUGGAAACCAGCUUCUAAUUUCCAUCUGAAUCAAUAGAUGUUUGAUGAUUUUUUUUUUUUUUGUUUACUUCCCCUUUCCGUGUAUUUACGUAUCCAAUUCCCACUCAUUUGUUAUGUUAGGUUAUAUAACCCAAACCUUUUCAGCCCUGCAUGGUCACGCAAGCAGUUCCCUGGUCAUUGGGAUGUAUGUUCUGUGGAACUCUCCCAGUUUAACUGGUUUUUAACUGCUUUUUCUCCUGAGAAGGCUUGCUGCAUGGAGUGUUCCAGACAGCGAUGCCUCAAACACAGCACUAAUGUUUUCCUGAAGUUACUGGAAAUUCCAUGACUGGACUCACACUGGUGUUUUUCAGUCACACCAUGCUGUCAGUUUCCUGUCACUCUGCAGCUGGUUAGUAAAGCCAAAUCCUUCUCCUAUUCACUUUUUUCUUGCUAGGACUCCCAAUAAAAAGCAAAAACUUUUUUUUAUAUAUAUUUCCUGAAUGCCUGCAGUUUCAAUUUCAUAAUAUACUAUAGUAUUUUGUGGGUCAUCCCACAAAACUGGCUUUUAGUAGAUGCACACUACUUUUUAUCCCUUUAUUAUUCAUUGAAUAUCAUGUUUUUAGUUAGAUUUUGCUUUGGAAGUUUUUCUGCACAGAUAUCAAAAGCACAGGCCCAAACUACUUCUGCCAUGGCUUAUUUCUUAGAACUUGCUGUUCUCUGGUCCUGUGGUAAUGCCUUCAAAUAGGGAAAUUUACUUAAAAUCUUUUGGAUUUGGGCAUGUCAGAGUUCUGGAAUUGAGAAUGCCUGCUUCCUCCAGCUAGAAGACAGCAGACUCAGCACCCCUGUCUCUACCUCAUGGAUUUGCAUGUUCGUCCUUACUGAAAAUCAGGAGUUAGAAGCAGGACCUUUCCAGGUGGCAUUUGAUAAGGAUCUGAGUGAUAACAGAUGGAAACAAUGCCACAUUCUUAUUAAACAAUGUUUGCCUUUAACCUACAAGAGACCAUUAGACCAUUGUCACAAAAAUAAAGUCCAGAGACAGUUACCCAAGGUCCUGGCUCAUGACAGACUGAGUCAAAUCUGAUGGUGCUGCAGGGGUGAAUAAGGGCACCAAACCAGGACCUACAGGUUUGCUGUGUGACCUACAGCUCAGCUGGGAGGUUAUCAGUAACACAAAGCUACUGGGGAUGCUGACCAGCCCUGGAAAGGUUUUAAAUAGAAAAUGGAAGGUCGAUGCUUGCCUAUGGACUGCCAAUGAGUCGUUUUCUCAGUGCUAUGCUAAGUGUGGAGUUUCUGACUUGUGUUCCCUGUGUUCCUGUAUUUGGAUCAAAUUGCACAAAUGUUUAGCAAACAUGUGCAGGGCACGGCCUUAUUGUUUUGCAAACUGUGGUGAGUCUUGUUUAAGGAGGUGGAUAUUACCACAGGGAGGAAGCAUAUGACUUCUGGCUGCUGUGGGGGAAAUCCUGAUACUUACAGACCCUGGUGGUUCUCUAACUUGGGCACUGUAAUAAGAGGAGCAGCAUGCCUGUGUCCUGGGUACUAAAUGCAAGGUACACCAUUUCUCACUGGCCACCUCAAUGCUGUGUUGUUUUUCUCAUGGCUCUAUGCAAAAUCAGUUGUAUCCCUAAACCUUAUGCAAUUGUGGCCUUAAGAGGCAGUAUCUCAGUUCAUGAACCCUUUAAAAGAUGCCAAUGUGAUGGAAAUGUGAGAUGCUGGGAUAUAGUGCCAUGUGUUCUCUGUGUGUGUGUAUGCACAUAUGCACAGAGCUGGAUUUCUGGAGGCUGGGUCUCCUGAGCAGUUCACUCCCCAUAUAUUCUCCACAUCCUUUUUGCCAGUUGUACAGCAUUUCUGCUUUAUCCAUUCUGUAGGCUGUGUGUUUGUGUGGUAUUUAGUGCUGUGAUGUCAGAAGGGAAAAGAUACCUGCAUGCUUUAUCUUUUGCUCCCUGUGUGAGGGCAAACAGUGUUUGAAGUGCCAAUAGGGCCAGGCAGUCCCCUAGAUCAGUAUUAACUCCCUGCCACAUGAGGAGCCUUUGGGCAGCUGAUGGGGCACUGGGGCUCACCCACUGCUUCACUCUUGGCCUCUGGACUGAAGUGUUUGCAGUCUGGGCAGUGCCAGUUUGGAAAAAUGUCAGCAUUAGAAUUUGAGAGUCACAGGACAGACCGGAGCCCAGGUUUCUGACUGCUGGGAUGUGAUGUGGUGUAUUCGUGUGCUCUGACAGAUGGAGCUAGGACUGUUGCUUUUUUUAUGGAGUAUCCUUCUGUGCACGUGUUUGGCUGCUAACCCAGUGUUCCUUAAUUUUUAAUAUCAUAAACUCGUUGGGGGCACAUAUUUUGAAAAGAAAUCUGUUUCACUCUGAAUCUUUUGGAGCUUGUUCUUCUCCAGGUUUGGGCUUGAAAAAUGAAGUCAGUUGAAGGCUGAGGGUACCCAAUAACUUUUGGGAAAUUCUGCAUUAAGGAUAUGUCUUUAUUAUUCUGUUUGUAUGUUUAGGUGUAAUGUUGAGCAUAAAUUCCUUGGGCAAUAAUCUCGGGCUCACAGCCCCUUUUAAAAUGUGUUCCCUUGCAAACAGCACCUGGAGAUUUGGAGUCAGUAGUGUGUUAGGUUAUGGAGAGAAUAAAAAUUUUUAAAAAAAUAAUCUCUGCAACAUUUCAUAUGUCUUAGGCAAAAGUUACUGAGGGCCAAGUUAGUUCAGUGCAUGACCCCUGUAAGAGUUCUUAGGCAUAUAAGAGCAGCCAAAAAUAGCUCCUUGGAAGGUCAGGGAAGGCAUCUUUUCUGUGUGUGGGUAGCUUUACAUUUCCAUCCUGAAACAUCUAUAUGCCUUAAGGUAAGCAAGAAAGAAGGGAUGGAAAGAAAAUGGAACAUCAGAAUAGGCUUGGAGGGCAGCCAGAGCCUGUGUAAUGUGUUCCUGUGUUCAUGAGGCACUGCCAGCCUUGGAGGUUGUUUUGUACAUGAAAUGGGGAAAGCCUGCAUUAACUUUGAAACUGUGUUUCAGAUAAGAGUGGCCAAAUAAAGGUUGGAUUCAGUCUGUUCAAUAGGUGAACAACAGCAAGAGGGAUCCUUACGUUUUAAAAUGGAGUCAUAGGCUCACAUCCAAGUGGUUUUAAGCUUCUGACUGUCUGGAGCCUGAAAGAAAUUUCAGCUUGUCAGACUGAGUGCUCUCUUUGGUCUGAUGUCUGCAUGCUGAGACAGAGUUUACGAGAAGCUUUUAUAGCAAAUCCCAAAGUCAGAGUCACCGCAGAACACUUUAAUUAUUGAAUAGGCAAGGGCUAAUGUGAGAGGGAAAGGUUCUGUGGGUCUCUGCAUAGUAAUCUCCUCCCCCGCCCCUUCCUGCCCAAAUCCUCUUGGUUAAUCAGGUUAUGUUUGCCCUAUUUCUCUCGGGGAGCAUGCAGAAUGCAGUGUUGCUACAAAUGGAGGAAGGGAACGGAAGGAGAAGGGCAUGCAGGAAGCAGGAGCAGGUAGAGGGUGCUUCAGAAAUGAAAGCUUCACUCUGGCAGCGUUCCCGGGGUGCCAGCAGGGCGCCUUCAGGCGGUGGCAUGUCUCUGUGAGCUGUCACACUUGCUGACAUGCAUGGUCCCACAUCCCACGCCAUGUGCCAAAGGACAGUGAAGGGGAACCUGUCUGCCUGCGUUCAACCUGGAGGCACUGGUGGUUUCCGUGGCCAACAGCUCCCUUCCCAAGCACCCACCACAGCCCAUUUCAGCUGAGAGCCCCUGGGAGGGAGGAGUUGAUGUCCCUGAAAGGGAGUAGCUGGUGUUCCUGGGGAGCUCGGGCUGCCUGCCAUUAGCCUGAAGUGCAGUGGUUAAUUCUGGGGGCACAGCGUGUGCUGCAUGCUUCUGUGCUGUCACACAGCCUUUAAUUCUUGCUGCACUCAUCCCCUUGGGCAUGUGGCUGCAAGCCACAAGAAAAAAGCUUAGAUGGACCCACCAAAGUAAAAUGCAGCUAUGAGAAGCAGGGAGCCAGCAAAGAUACAGACAGCACUCCAGCCAACCUCUGUGCUGCUGAAUCUAAGUUUCCUUUAAAUCUGGUAUUCCUGGAGUUUAGCUCUGAGUGUGCUGUGAUUAGGGUGGUUCUUCAUAUGGAUUCGUGCCUCAGAAAUGCUCUUACCUGCAAUACCUGACUGGGAGACUGAGGUCCAAAGCUCUUCUGUGACUUGUCUAAACCCAAAGCUUGCAGCUGAAACUGUUCCAAAAAUAUGCAGAAUUGCUUGUUCUGAAGUCUGGGUCUGAUCAGCCUUAGGAGAACUGGGUAAAUCUUGAUGGGAGAAUUAAUUGCAGUGACUUGCGUGAUUUUGGGUCUGUGGCAAAUAAUUUAGAAGGAUGUAGAUCUGCAGGUCUGUGUGUGUGUUCUGUGUCUUGAGGUGAAUUUAUCCAAAAGCUCAAAACCAAACCCUUCUAGACCAAAUGACAAAGCUCCAGGGAGUUUAUAUGUAACCCUCUGAUCCUGGCUCAGGAUCAACUGAAUGUCAGACCAUGCUUGCAUUUCACGUGUGUGCCAGGAAGUGCCAAGCCACGCAAACAUUGCCUAAUUCAGUUUUGAUAAGAAAACAUGUGUGCUAAUGUCUUAACAAACAAUUCGAUGGGUGAGGGUAUGGGUGUUAAUGUCUUUGAAAUGGGUCUUAAUGUCUCUACCACCUUGAAGCCUUUGUUACAGAACCCAGACAGUUCAACUCCUGAAAUAGACAAAUGGGUCUGCACAAGCCUGGGUUUCUGGACUUUGGAGGGGAAAUUACAGGUUCAAGGGGGAUAUAUGGGGUAGGCGGUGGGGGAAGGCUGUACCUUCCCUGUACCUCAGCCCGUGGGGAAAGGAAGAGGGCAGCAUGCCCUCCAAAACCUGGAGAGAGAAAACCCUACUGAAAUAUGCCCCAGUGGAUACUCUCUCCCUUUAUUCGAAUGAAGUUGCAGGACUCCUUUGUCUCCUUUAUGGAGUCUGGCUUUUUACAGGGUGAUUAUUCUGCACAGCUACAAGGAAUUUUUUCCCUUCCUUUUAAUAAAUUCUGUCUGUAAUGGGCCGAAUUUUCACUUUUCUUUUAUAAGAACUUCCCUACAGAUGACAUGGAGCUGUGUGGGAACCAAUGAAAGUUUUUAAAUUGCUCCCAUAAUUGCUUCUAUUGUCAGUUUUUUCAUGUUGAUAAUUUGUGUUUUCAUUGCAAGUGAUCAAAUAUUAGUCAAAUCAUUUUAUAUAUCGUUAAGUUGGUUUUUUGCCAAGCUUGUUUUGUCUUUUUACUGAAAAGAAAAAAAUGGUGCAGCCUGCAAAAGGCUUUGUGGAUGUAAAAUUUGUCUCAACCGAUUUUAUCUUGGAGGUUGGUACAAGAAUUUAUACAUAUUUGAAAUCAUACAAGUAUGUAUUAAGCUUCCCAGUUCUACCUUGGAAGACUAUAAAAUUAUUAUAAUUUGGCUGAAGUUUUCAGAGUUAUUAAUUAGUGAGCUAAAGAAUCUUAACAGAACACAAGAAACAUUACAUGAAAAAGGGUUGUCCCCCUUCCUAAACCAGGAGAGACAGCUAUGAACUGCAAAAAGAACAUGAAUAAAAUACAAAAAGCCUUCUACCAACUCUCAAGCCAACCAAA